CUCUAAUACUUUUUCCUUCUAAAAGACUGAAUUUAAUACUGCAACAUGAAGCAGCAUAAACUGUCUGCAAAGAAACGCCUUAUAAAACCGAUUCUCUUCGGCACACUGAUUGCAGGACUUGCAACAGCAUUCUUUAACAGGCACUUGUUCUUUGAAGACGUGGAAGAGCUUCGAGCUCAGGAACGAGCUCGUAACGACGCCAAACGCUUAGAAGUAUUAGAAAGGAGGCAGAAACAAAUAGAAGAGCUGGUGGAGAAGAGAAAUGCAGGGGACAAUUGAUAUCAGACAACUUCUAUGCUAGGACAUAUCUGCUCACCUGUGCUGAAAGCAGACAAACAGGAUGGCCACCAUCUUAACUGUCAAAAAAGGAUGAUUGUUUUCCGUGCAAAAUUGCAGCUACACAAGGAAAAAGAAAGUUCAUCAGAGAACUACUCUUGCAGCUGAGGGAAUCAAAAAAGGGGACCUUUCUGUUUUUGUGGACAAAAAGAAUUCCAGUUAAUUAAUUGUUGAGUAUUGAACAACCCCACUAAAUAACCACCAAGAAGCUGUGUGCUAUCUGUGGACUAAACAUGGCAAUGAGAAGAUGGGCCAGCACAAGAGCUAUAAUAUGACAGUAUUUGUACGUCAACCACAGAUUUGUGUUGGCUAGUGAAUGUAAAAUUGCUUAAAAAUUUGCUUGUAUAAGAUAAGCUCAGUCAAUGCUUUUUUUUUUCCUGUCACAGUGACACAUUAUUAUGCUCUCAUCAUUAGCCCAGUACCUGCAAAGUGAAAUAUACACUCACCAUGCACUUUAUUAGGAACACCUGCACAUUCAUACUUUUAUACAAUCAGCCAAUCAUGUGGUGGCAGCACAGUGCAGAAAAUCCUGCAGAUACCGAGCAGUCAAGAGCUUCACUUAAUGUUAACAUCAAACAUCAGAAUGAAGAAUCUGUGUCUGAUCUCUGUGACUCUGUAAUCAUGGCCUGGUUGUUGGUGCCAUAUGGGCUGGUUUGAGUUUUUCAGAAACUGCUGAACUCCUGGGAUUUUCACUUUUUCACUUUCCAUGCUUUGAUCAAAGCCACAGAGAUCACACUUUUCCCACAUUCUGAUGUUUGAUGUGAACAUUAGCUGAAACUCUUGACCUGUUUCUGUGUAAUAUUUUGCAUUACACUGCUGCCACAUGAUUGGCUGAUUGUGGCAUGAAUGGUAUUCCUAAUAAAGUGGAUGGAUAGUGUAUAUAUUAUUACAGUGUAAAAAAAAGUCAAAUUGUCACCCAUUUCUAUAAAAGAAAAUUAAAUAUUUUAUAAACACUCAAAUCGCCUUAUGCAAAACUUUGGCAAAAGGUUAAUGAACAUUCUAAAGCAGGAAUUGUUUUUCAGGCAUUUGUAACAUGUCUCUUUUCUAAAAAUAAACCUUUGCACCUUCA